AGAAUAAGCAAGAAGAAUAUAUGUUAAUGUUGUAUUCUGAUUGAUAUAAGAAACUGGAUAUAGAAAUAUAUUAGUAAAAGUACAUUUGUUUUUUAUGAUAAAAUAAUUUGGUGAUCUUGUAUACUGCUAAAUUGCAGUAGUACAAAAUUGCUUGUCUCCUUUUGAUUUAUUCCAUAAACAUGUGGAAUUUUAAAUGUGUUCCAGUUUUAUUAGUAAAGGAAUCUUAUGUUUUCCAGGAAGUACUUCCACAUUUAGAUACAGGAAGAAUACACACAGGUACCCAUGCACUCAUGCUGUCAUUCACACACACACACAGAGGCUUGCAUGCACGUGUAAAACAGUUUUAGGGAUAUUUUAA